rnacentral:lncRNA from 1 species
UUGAGCUGCAAACAUAGAUAAGAAAACUGGAAACUUGCAUGGAGGAAUGCUGUCAGCUAUGCUGAUAGUCUUGGUCCUGGGCCAAUAACCCUGGUCUGCAAAUGAGAGAGAUGUUCCAGACUACACAUACUGCAAAACAAAGUCAACUGGAGUAGAAUCUUUGAUGUGGCAUUUGAAUAAACACCUGAAUUGAAUUACUGAUAGACCGGUGCUGAAUGUCCUUCCAGCUGGUUCUCCAAUAAGUGGAUCUAUCCCAGAUACAGGUCACUUGCAAAGCUUGAACACCACAGAGUGGACUUAGGACCGAGCAACAAGCACCUUUUGCUUUGAGGAAUAUUUACCAUGUUUUCUAUAACCAUAAAAUAUCCAAAUAUGGAAGAUACAAACUCUAAAUCUUAUGUUUUAAACUCUCUGAAAUAGUGAUAUGAUUUGACUUUCUGUACUAUUCAUUCUUCUAUUAAAAAGUGAGUGAGUUGUGGUCACAGAAAUGUAAAGCACAAUAGAGUUUGUUGUAGAAAGAAAAAGGAAGAAAAAGGAAGGUAAAAUAAGAUUUCUGUGAGCAUAGGUCUUUCACAAACAAGGUGCAUCAAUGCCCAAGGAAAACCAGUCCACUGGCUGCUUUUAUGCAUUGUAGGAAAGACCAUAAAAGUCACACUGAUCUUGUAUCAAAAGGUGGCAGUCCUGUGUUCAUGGCCUGCUGGUGAAAAUUUUAAAUCAUUGAGAUGCUACAGGCAACAUAUUUCUCAAGCUACUAAACCCUGGAGGAAGGUAAAGAUUGCAAAAACCACAUAAUUGAGCUGAACCUGGUAUUCCCCUUUGCAAAACAAGGAUACUGUCCUCAGUCUGUCUUGCAGGAAUAUUAAGAGCUCUUCUUUCACAAAAUAUUUUGAGUUUUUCUGAGAGAGAAGCUCUGAAAAUAUUGAGACUGUUUUUUUUAACAUAGCAGCAAAAUACUCUUUUUUUAGUAAACUAUAUUUGCACAUGUGAACAUUCUCAGAUUUUAAAGUCUUACUCUUAAGUCUUACUCUCUUUAAGUGAAUUUUUAUGUUUAUGGUAUUUUGUGAAAUAUCAAGAGCAGCAAAACUGAAUUACAAAUAUAAUUGCUGUUUUACUAUAGCUAAGAAUGAAAACAGAUGGUAAUUAUGUCCACUACAAAUUGUCCCCUGAGCACAUGGGUCAUCCAUGUUUCUUAUGGAUGAUCAGUUUCUUAGAGGUGCAGAAGAACCAUACCUUGCUACAUCCUUGAAAAUGGAUUUUUGCUAUAAUAAGUGAACUUUCAGGAUGUGGUGCAACUAUGAACACACUCAAUUGCAUAACCUGUGGUUUCCUAAGCAGGAUUUCCAUUUGAAAAUGCCCAGGGUCUGUUAGAGAAGAGAAAGUCUAAAUAGGAUCUUAAAUGACAUUGAUGCUUCAGAGAUGUGAAGAUUAAUCAUGAUUUUUUUGGGGAGGGGGGCAACUCCGUUUUCUUA